rnacentral:rRNA from 1 species
ACUCAAAUGAAUAGACGGGGGCUCACACAAGCGGUGGAGCAUGUGGCUUAAUUCGAGGCUACGCGCAAAACCUUAUCCCGGGCUUGACAUGCACGGAUUAGGAUGCGGAAACGUAUCCGACGCCGCAAGGUGGAACGUGCACAGGUGCUGCAUGGCUGUCGUCAGCUCGUGCCGUGAGGUGUUGGGUUCAGUCCCAUAACGAGCGAAACCCCUGUGGUCGGUUGCCAGCGGGUCAUGCCGGGCACUCGGACCAGACUGCCGGUGCAAGCCGGAGGAAGGCGGGGACGACGUCAAGUCAUCAUGGCCCUUAUGCCCGGGGCUGCACACGUGCUACAAUGGGGCGCCAUAAAGCGAUGCAAACGUGCAAACGCGAGCCAAUCGCCCAAAUCGCCCCCCAGUUCGGAUUGCGGGCUGCAACCCGCCCGCAUGAAGCCGGAAUCGCUAGUAAUCGCGGAUCAGCACGCCGCGGUGAAUUCGUACCUGAGCCUUGUACACACCGCCCGU